GAUGAACGCUGGCGGCAUGCUUUACACAUGCAAGUCGAACGAGGAUUAGUUAGCUUGCUAAUUGAUCUUAGUGGCGGACGGGUGAGUAACGCGUAAGAAUCUGCCCCUGGGAGAGGGAUACCAACUGGAAACGGUUGUUAAUACCUCAUGCGCUGAGGAGCAAAAAGGUUUACCGCCGCCUAGGGAUGAGCUUGCGUCUGAUUAGCUAGUUGGUGGGGUAAUGGCCUACCGAGGCAAUGAUCAGUAGCUGGUCUGAGAGGACAAUCAGCCACACUGG
rnacentral:rRNA from 1 species